rnacentral:rRNA from 1 species
CAGCCGCCGCGGUAAUACGGAGGGUGCAAGCGUUAAUCGGAAUUACUGGGCGUAAAGCGCACGCAGGCGGUCUGUCAAGUCGGAUGUGAAAUCCCCGGGCUCAACCUGGGAACUGCAUUCGAAACUGGCAGGCUAGAGUCUUGUAGAGGGGGGUAGAAUUCCAGGUGUAGCGGUGAAAUGCGUAGAGAUCUGGAGGAAUACCGGUGGCGAAGGCGGCCCCCUGGACAAAGACUGACGCUCAGGUGCGAAAGCGUGGGGAGCAAACAGGAUUAGAUACCCGGGUAGUCCCUGUCUCUUAUAC